GAAUAAAAUACGUAUAUAGAUCAAGGCCAGUACCUGUUGAUACCCGUCGGAUAUCACGUUCGCAGUCAUAUUUGAAAACAUAACUUUCAAGGGCGCGUCGCAUAUGGGAAGCCAGAAAUCGAUCAGUUCGCAACCGACCGUCUUGGGAAUAGCAACAAUAGAAGUACGUCGUAGUUUCGGAAAUAUCUGAGGGUCGACCGCUAUUCUUAACGAACGGAACAUGGGUUACAUUGCUGAUGAACUGAUUGUGCAGAUGUUGUCGAACAUCUUCGCGGAUUCGGUCUAGAAUCGAGUCAGCAAUUAAGUAGCUCACGUAAGAAAACGAUCAGUAAAAUCUCCAGUACAAAGCGUCAAAGAAACGGAACUGAAAACAUUUCCCAGCAAACCGAUCCUUUCCAGAGAUCCAGUAACACGAAGACAAGCACAUCUGAGUCGAGUGCAUUCGAUAUUAUUUUCUAAAAGUGACGUCAGAUAUCAACGGUCGAAAAAAGCAUUGUAGAUAUCAACGUGAUUUACUUCUCAAAAAUGAUAGAAGUUCCUUUACUACGAUGUGUGAACGAAGGUUUUUGUCGUUAAAUUCGCGUGGAAAGCGAUUCUGGUUUUAACGUCUUAAGUUCCACACAACGACUCUGCAAUUACCAGAAGAGCAAUUUUUGCUGCUCACAAAUGAAUCCCUGCUACCUCUCGGUUCGUCGAAUAUUAAAUAUGAACUCUGUCAUAGAGGGAAUCUCUUCGUUAUCGAUAGCUAUAUUUUUAUAAAUAAAUUCUCGUCAAUUUGGUAUUAUUUCUCGAUAAAUUAUAAAAUAUUUUUAUUGAUAAAACAAAAUUACAUAAAAUUACAUAGAAUAGAAAAUAUUUUCGAAUUUGAAAGAUCAAAAAAUUAUUUCGUAUUUUAAAUAAUAUACAAAUUAAAUAAUUUUGUAUCAAUUUAAAUAAUUUUUAAUUUAGAAAAUUGUUAUUACACUAAUUUUAUUUUAAUAGAAAAGGAUUCGAAAAUAAUUAUGAAUUAUGAAUAUAUUAUAAAUUUUUUUUCUAUCUCA